AUUGAACGCUGGCGGCAUGCUUUACACAUGCAAGUCGAACGGUAACAGGCCGCAAGGUGCUGACGAGUGGCGAACGGGUGAGUAAUGCAUCGGAACGUGCCCAGUCGUGGGGGAUAACGCAGCGAAAGCUGUGCUAAUACCGCAUACGAUCUAUGGAUGAAAGCAGGAGACCGUAAGGCCUCGCGCGAUUGGAGCGGCCGAUGUCAGAUUAGGUAGUUGGUGGGGUAAAGGCUCACCAAGCCAACGAUCUGUAGCUGGUCUGAGAGGACGACCAGCCACACUGGGACUGAGACACGGCCCAAACUCCUACGGGAGGGAGCGGUGGGGAAUUUUGGACAAUGGGCGCAAGCCUGAUCCAGCAAUGCCGCGUGCAGGAAGAAGGCCUUCGGGUUGUAAACUGCUUUUGUACGGAACGAAAAGGUUUGGGUUAAUACCCUGGGCCGAUGACGGUACCGUAAGAAUAAGCACCGGCUAACUACGUGCCAGCCGCCGCCGUAAUAC
rnacentral:rRNA from 1 species